UUGAAAGGGAAACGAUUGAAGUCAGUCGUACCAGCGGGAAAUCAACCUUUCGAGUGGGGGUUUUGGAGUUUUGAAGAGUGUCAAAACCUUUGAGAUUUCAAAAUAUUCGCUCUUUUGGUGUACUUUCUCGUGGGUAGGUUAACAUCGAUUUCGAUCGUCAUAAAAGGAUUGGAGGAAUGUAGCUUCGAUCUUGUAUUGAAGUGUUAUAGCCUUUGGUAAAUGUGAUGAUUGGGAUCGAGGAUUGCAACGAAUACCCUUUUGGGCUAUCCGCCUGAUCUCUGAUACGUGGCCUUGGCAUCGAAAGCUUGCUUAUGGUAUAAAGGUAUUACGGUCAAAAGGUUAGAACGGAUUACAUUCGUUAAGGAUGUUGACGUA
rnacentral:rRNA from 1 species